UACGUAGGGUGCAAGCGUUAAUCGGAAUUACUGGGCGUAAAGCGUGCGCAGGCGGUUAUGUAAGACAGUUGUGAAAUCUCCGGGCUCAACCUGGGAACUGCAUCCGAGACUGCAUUGCUAGAGUAUGGGAGAGGGAAGCGGAAUUUCUGGUGUAGCAGUGAAAUGCGUAGAUAUCGGGAGGAACACCAGUGGCGAAGGCGGCUUCCUGGCCUGUUCUUGACGCUGAGGCGCGAAAGCUAGGGGAGCAAACGGGG
rnacentral:rRNA from 1 species